UGCAAUAUGGUUGCUUGUUCUGCUGAGGGUUACGUUAUCUCACUGGAAAUGGCCAGUAAAGGGCUAUCAGGAGUGCUUUCACUGAGCAUUGGGAAUCUGAGUCACCUAAAACAAUGCUGUUGCAAAACAAUAAGUUGUCAGGUCCCAUUCCUGAUGAGAUAGGGAAGCUCCCAGAGCUUCAAACACUUGAUCUUUCUGGUAACCAGUUCGUCGGAGUAAUUCCAAGAUUUUGGGCUCUCUAACUCAUCUAACUUACUUGCGGCUUAGCAACAGCAAUUUAACUGGACCUAUUCCUGGAACCAUUGCGAAUCUCACUGGUCUUUCGUUCUUGGAUGUAUCCUUUAAUAACCUCAGCGGUCCUACUCCAAAAAUCCUAGCAAAAGGUUAUAGUAUUUCAGGGAAUGACUUUCUUUGCACUUCUUCGUAUGAACAAAGUUGCACUGGCGUUUUAAAACCAUUAAAUGGCUCAGUUUCAUCUUCUAGAACCUGUGGAUACCACCGUUGGGGGUUGUCUGUUGCCAUAGCAAUCAGUUCCGGGUUUGUGGUUUCUUUGGUUCUGCUUGUUGGUUGGGUGCAUUGGCACCGAUCUCGU